rnacentral:rRNA from 1 species
AUUGAACGCUGGCGGAAUGCUUUACACAUGCAAGUCGAACGGCAGCACGGACUUCGGUCUGGUGGCGAGUGGCGAACGGGUGAGUAAUGUAUCGGAACGUGCCCAGUCGUGGGGGAUAACGUAGUGAAAAUUACGCUAAUACCGCAUACGGUCUAUGGAUGAAAGCGGGGGAUCGCAAGACCUCGCGCGAUUGGAGCGGCCGAUAUCAGAUUAGGUAGUUAGUGGGGUAAAGGCACACCAAGCCAACGAUCUGUAGCUGGUGUGAGAGGACGACCAGCCAAACUGGAACUGAGACACGGUCCAGACUCCUACGGGAGGCAGCAGUGGGGAAUUUUGGACAAUGGGCGAAAGCCUGAUCCAGCCAUUCCGCGUGCAGGAUGAAGGCCCUCGGGUUGUAAACUGCUUUUGUACAGAACGAAAAGGUUUCUACUAAUACUAGGAGCUCAUGACGGUACUGUAAGAAUAAGCACCGGCUAACUACGUGCCAGCCGCCGCCGCCG